GGAGUUUUGCGCCCAGGCUGGAGUGCAAUGGCACGAUCUCGGCUCACUGCAACCUCUGCCUCCCCAGUUCAAGCGAUUCUCCUGUCUCGGCCUCCUAAGUAGCUGGGAUUACAGGCAUGCGUCACCACGCCCAGCUAAUUUUUUUGUAUUUUUAGUAGAGACAGGGUUUUGCCAUGUUGGUCAGGCUGGUCUCGAACUCCUGACCUCAGGUGAUCCUCCCGCCUCGGCCUCCCAAAUUGCUGGGAUUACAGGUGUGGUGCGGGCGCCUGUAAUCUAUUACUCAGGAGGCUGAGGCAGGAGAAUUGCUUGAACCCAGGAGGCGGAGGUUGCAGUGAGUCAAGAUCGUAUCACUGCUCUCCAGCCUGGGUGACAGAGUGUGACUCCGUCUCAAAAAGCAAAACAAAACAAACAAAAAAACACAAAAAAACAAAAAAUCCAGUAGGAAAGAUGUAUUGUAUAAUGCUAUCCACUGCAGGAAACAGCAGGGAAUAUUUUCCAUAACAAUCCAAAAAGAGCUCGUAGAUGUUAACCCUAUUUUGGAAAGGAGGUCCACAAUAGUUGUUAAAUUUAAAAAUAAAAGUUGUUUUUUAAAAAAUAGGUACAGUUUGAUCCCAUGCUUAGAAAAUAAAAGUGCAUUCCACGAAAAAUAAAACGGCAAGUUGCA
rnacentral:lncRNA from 10 species